GGCUUGUUGGUCUAGGGGUAUGAUUCUCACAUCAGGUGCGAGAGGUCCCAGCUUCAAAUUCUGGACAAGCCA